GGAGCGCCUCUGACUGACUUCCCCCAUGUGUCCGUGUGGCCACACCGUGCUACUUUCAGAGGCAGUGGGCUUUUCGCUAAGCGAUAAAAAGAAGUAAAACCUUGCCUUUAGCGCAGCUCUCCAUCACUGGGCAGAUUGCUCUCCCUCCCCACUCUCCCAGGCCCAAAUUGGAUCUCAGCGCCUGGGAGCUCCAACUGCAGCAAGUGCAAAAUCCUGUCUUCGGUUUUGGAAUUUUCAUCCGCACAGACUAUAUCAGCCACGGAUAGGAUACGUGAGAAUACUAGCAUGUCAAAGCUGGGAAUCAUCCUUAGGCAUCACCUAGCCAGUCCUGCCUCUCAUUUUAAGGUGAUCACAGGAUCUGGUUUGCCACUGAAAGGAAUCUUGAUGCUGACCACUUCACCUCGGAGAGCAUGAACUGCUCCCAUGCCUUCAAGAGUUUUAGUGGGUAACCAGGAUGGAACUGUGGUGUUGCUUGCAGGAGAAGCUUACUACUGGUUUCUACUUCUCCAACCUCAUUGGUGGCUAUGCAGGCACUGUCUCCAGACUGUCUAUAUUCAACCCAGUAUCCAAGAAUUUCUUUGCCACCAUCACAUUCAGGUUUCUCCCACUGUAGAGUGACACUAUCUUUGGAUAUUGAAAGAAUCUCAAGUUCUCCUGGUUGGCUUGGUUUAUCUGAAAUAUUUUAAAAUAAUGAAAAGGGAAUCAGCUUUACUGGUGAAAUAAAAGGACCAAACAUGGCUUGCUUCUUUAAUUUU
rnacentral:antisense_RNA from 1 species